rnacentral:tRNA from 1 species
GCACCCGUAGCUCAGGGGAUAGAGCACCGGUUUCCUAAACCGGGGGUCGUAGGUUCAAAUCCUACCGGGUGCA